UGGGGAAUUUUGGACGAAUUGGGCGAAAGCCUGAUCCAGCAAUGCCGCGUGUGUGAAGAAGGCCUUCGGGUUGUAAAGCACUUUUGUCCGGAAAGAAAUCCUUGGCUCUAAUACAGUCGGGGGAUGACGGUACCGGAAGAAUAAGCACCGGCUAACUACGUGCCAGCAGCCGCGGUAAUACGUAGGGUGCAAGCGUUAAUCGGAAUUACUGGGCGUAAAGCGUGCGCAGGCGGUUUGCUAAGACCGAUGUGAAAUCCCCGGGCUCAACCUGGGAACUGCAUUGGUGACUGGCAGGCUAGAGUAUGGCAGAGGGGGGUUAGAAUUCCACGUGUAGCAGUGAAAUGCGUAGAGAUGUGGAGGAAUACCGAUGGCGAAGGCAGCCCCCUGGGCCAAUACUGACGCUCAUGCACGAAAGCGUGGGGAGCAAAGC
rnacentral:rRNA from 1 species